CAAAGCGUUUGAAUUCUGAAAC
rnacentral:miRNA from 12 species